AAAACGGCCCUUUUCAGGGCCACCAAUAAUAACUGCUAACUGUGU
rnacentral:ncRNA from 1 species